CAGGUUUGGAGCCGAAGUAGGGGCGGAGCUAAGAUGGUGAUGAGGCCCUGGGAAGAGGGUCGCCGGACCAGUGGGGAAGGCCGUGCAGGAGAUGGAGAGCCGGGAACCAGGACAGCGCUUGAAAGGAGAUGCUGUGGGCGGGGCUAAAUGGAGAAUCGCCCAGAGGGCGGAGCCACGGGUGGAGGGAGGCGGGGCUGAAGAGAAGCUUAGAGUGGGAGGAAGAUGGAAGCGGGCCUGAAGGAGGCGGGCCCGGAAGCAGGGAGGGGAGGAGGGGCCCCGGGGGUGGCUACUCUGGGCGGGUGCCGGAAGGAGGCGUGCCCCAAGGAAGGACUGAGGGGUGGUGCUUGAGGUGGGCGGGGCCUGGAGAUGGCGCUCAAAUCUGCAGGCUGUGGGCGGUGCAGGAGGGAUCCGGAAGAGACGAGGCAGGAAGAAACUCCUGGUCCUUUCGCUUUUAAGGAACGUGCCACCUAGACAAGGUGAGGGUCGCUCUUCGCUGCCUAAUCUGGGACUGGGCGGAGAGGCCGCGCUAAGGGUGAUCUCCGAAAAAGAUGCAGGAGAUGUUUUAUAACUUGAUCCAGGUGCUAGUCCUCUCUCCUACACAUUUCUCCUGUCGGGAUUUCUCACUUUCAGUGUUCCAGCCUCCGGUGAACCAGUCUUCCUAGUGAGAGCACGAGAAGCCCGUUGUCCUUCAUUCCUCAGCUAUGGAUUUCCCUGAAAGUUGAGAACUGACCAUAUUCUCGAUGCCUCCUCCGACCUGUGAUUUCAUGACUCACAUCGCUUCCCCAGAACCUGCUUAACAGACGGGAUUCCUGAGAAUGGAGCAGAGUUUGAAUUCAGAGUCCUGGCUUUGCCAUACCAGCAGUUAUAAUUGUCCUUCUGUUGUUUGAUGACCUCCCUGCCCUGCUUCAAAAGGAAGAGAAAUCAAAGAGUUGACGACCCUGAGCGCAAGGCCUGGGACGUUCUUCCCCAAACUCGCUUUAAUAUCACCUUCUCAAAAGAACUCUUCCCUGAACACCUUGUCUCAAGAUGUUCUCUAGUUUGUCUUCUUGUUCUGUCAUUUAUUUGUCUGUUCAUUGUUUGUGUGUUUUUUGAGGCGGAGUCUAGCUCUGUCGCCUAGGCUGGAGUGCAGUGGCACGAUCUCGGCUCUCUGCAACCUCUGCCUCCUGGGUUCAAAGCGAUUCUUGUACCUCAGCCUCCCAAGUAGCUGGGAUUACAGGCGUGUACCACCAUGCCCGGCUAAUUUUUGUAUUUUCAGUGGAUACGGGGUUUCAUCAUGUUGGCCAAGCUGGGCUCUAACUCCUGACCUCAGGGGAUCUGCAUUUGAGGAUAAACCCUGUCUUGGCUCCUCCCUGACGGGGGUGAGAAGUAGCCCUCCUGGAAUUGCCUCAAAGCCCCCGGUUAUCACCAGUGUUCUCGGUUGCAAAUUACGAAACAUAAAUAAACUCAGACUAACAGAUGCAGCAAAGGAAUUUAUCAGGAAGGAAUGGGGAGCUCCCAGAACUGAUGGGAAGGCUGGAGAACCAGGCUCAGAAAAUGCACUGAAGUGGUGAGCGCAGAGGCUUGAAUGUUGCCAGGACUCUCCUCCCAGUCCUUUAUCUCUUCUCUCUGUAUGCGAGCUUUUCUCCUCAAGGCUAGGCACCUGGCUGCAGCAGCGCUCACCACUCACAACUCUCACCCGUUCCACCGGAGAGAGACUGAGGAUUUCUGCUUCUGGUCUGAAGGACAAAAUUUUAGGGAAAAACUUUGAUUGGUCCAACAUAGGUAAGUCCCCGUCCCUAGACCAAUCAUCUAUGGGUGGAAAACCAGGUGCUGUGACUGGCCCAACUUAAGCCAGGUGCCAUUCUCUAACCAAUACUGUGAAUAAGGAAGUGGGACGUACAGGGAGAUGGCAGCCCCAUCGGAACCAUAUGGUCAGAGAAAGAUGCAUUUCCCAAAAGAUGGAGUUCAUGCUCUGGGGCAGAUUGAAUAAUAGAUUUUCACUACACCUGCCCCAGAGUUACCCCCAACCAAUACAUUACUUACUGCCCAACUCUCAUCAUUCCUUCUCUGCUCAAAACCCUUCAAUGGGCUGGGCGCGGUAACUCACGCCUGUAAUCCCAGUACUUUGGGAGACCGAGGUGGGGGGGAUUACUUGAGGUCAGGAGUUCAAGACCGGCCUGGGCAACAUGGUGAAACCCCAUCUCUACUAAAAAUAUAAAAAUUAACCGGGCGUGGUGGCAGGCACCUGUAAUCCCAGCUACUCAGGAGGCUGAGGUGGGGUAAUCGCUUGAACCUGGGAGGUGGAGGUUGCAGUGAGCCGAGAUCAUGCCACUGCACUCCAGCCUGAGACACAGAGAGAGACUCCGCCUCAAAAACAGAAAAACAAAAAACAACCUUCAAUAGCCUCCCAUUGCCAUGUCAUCAGCAUGGAUCAAAAACUCAAAUGUCAUGCCGGGCACAGUGGCUCAUUCCUUUAAUCCCAGAAUUCUGGGAGGCUGAGGCAGGAGGAUUGCUUGAACCCAGGAGUUUGAGACCAGCUUGGGCAACAUAGUGAGACCCUGUCUCUACAAAAAAAAAAAUUUUAAUUAGCUGGCAUGGUAGCAUGUGCCUGUACUUCCAGCUACUUGGGAGGCUGAGGCCAGAGGAUCACUUGAGCCCAGGAGGCCAAGGCUACAGUGAGACAUGCUCACACCACUGCAUCCAGCCUAGGCAACAGAGUGAGACCCUUCUCAAAACAAAUAACAACAACAGCAAACCCUCAGGUGUCUACAGGGGCUAGAAAGAAGGUUAGGCAUGAGACAAUAGGGAGUGGAGAGCACUGUCAUGAACUGGAGGAUGUGUGUUGCAUACUGUUCCUAGAAUGCAGGUGCUGAGAUGUAGGAUUCUUCAAGAGAGCCCCCAAAUCUGGAUUUUCAUAUAAAAUCUCCCAAUUUCUAAAUGUUGGCUCAACUAUUUUUAAAAACCCUGUGCAAGCCAAAUGAAUUAUGUCUGCAGGCCAAUUACUGUAGGCUGUGGUCUAAAAAUGAGCAAUCUCUGACCUUUAUAGGAUAAAGCCUAUAAUCACACACCCACCUUUGGGGUCUGUCAUCUAUUACUACGUAAGAAAUCAUCCCGAAAAUGUAGUGACUUAAAACAACAAUGAUUUGUUACUUCUCACAAUUUUAUAGAAUGACCAGGUGGUUCUUCUGCUCCAUGUGGUGUUGGCUGGGAAAAGCUUCCUCCUGUCUCCACCUCCACAUGUUCUAUUUCCUUUUCAAGCCCAACUGCCAAUGGCGCCUCCACCCUGAAGCCUGCCUCAUCUCCUGUGCCACACACAUUGCCACUGGCCAAGUCUAAAUGAGAUGCCGUGCUCUCCAAGCUUUGUUGCUCUUUAUGUAUAACUAUUAGAGCACACAUUUAGCUCACCUAGAGAAUGGAGGUCUGCCUUGUCCAUCUUUAUUUCCUUCUGGCACAGUCACACAGGAAAGCCCCAUGGGUGCUGUCAGAUUGGAUUGAACUGAGCUGACUCUUGGAGAUAUUUAGUCAAACUUGCCCAUUUUACAGAUGGAGAAAUGACAACUGGAGAGGGGAGUUCUACUGGAGAGGGGAGUUCACACAUAUACACUGAAAGCUGCCCAUCAAAAGAGUUGCAGAACCAGGACUACAGCCCUUGCAUCUUGACUGCCAGUACGAUGCAGGUUAAACUCUGUGUUUGAUGCUUGUUGAUGUGGACGUCUGGAACUUGAAUAGAAGACAUUUCUUAUUUCAGAUGCAUCCAUUAGCAGGUCUUAGCCAGGAGCCAGGCCCUUGCAAGUAUAUAUUGCAAGUAAUUGAUGACAUUGGAGCCAGAAAUCGAAUGAACCGGGCCCAGUUCAAUCCACUUACUGGACAAGCUCCUCAAGCACUCUAAGCCCCAAUUUCCUCCUCUGUAAAGUGGGCAUAAAUUACAUUUACCUUGAGGGUUGCUGUGAAGGCUAGAAAUAAUAUAUGUAAUGUCCCCUGAUACACAGAAGGUGCUCAAGAAAUAGUAAGCUCUUCUAAUGAUUGUUAUUGAUGGCAAAGAUGAUGAAAAAACAAAUGCUCUGACUUCUCAAAGGAGAGAGAAUCAUCCCUGAGGAUUGUGUCUUGGAGAACAUAAAUCCAUAUUUUCUCUUUCCUGAACAAAUUCCCUCUGGAAGGGCACAAAGGGAACAAAUUCCCUUGUUAGGAAGGAAGGAAGGGAAGGAAGGAUGGAAAACAAGAGCAAGGAAGGGUUGGCAGGUUGUGACUGUCUACCUCUCCCUGAGGCUUGCUCUGCUACACCCACCCCAAACUCUGGUCCAUCCCAUUUCCAUGCUGAGAUCAGGCCACACACAGAAGUGUUGGUGUCAGACCACCAGCUUUGAGCCAUCCCUGGGAAUCCCCAGGAUACUGGAUAGCAGAUUUGGAGCAUACAGUUCCCACCCACUGUGACUGACGGCUAGGGAGCUCAAGGUUAUGGAGGAAGCUCUCAUAAGUCAAUGCAAGUUUGUGUGUCUCCCGUUCCUCACUGGCUUAGCCCUCAGAGCCCUUGUCCCUGCUUUCUGCCUUGCAACUAGGUCUUCACAUUAGUGUUUUAUCAAACAAAAGACAGGCUGACAUCUUUAAAGUAUGGUCUUUAUUAAGUAGGGAGCAAAUCAUUCCACACCUUCCCUCCCAAUACCUCCCUCACCAGUGACUUCAAGCCUUCAAACAAGAGGGGACACCUCUCCCCACUUCCCAGUGACCUUUCUCCGCCCCUCAUUGCAUCCAUGAGUGACACCACUGAGAUCAGAUGCAGUGAUGUUAAUUGAAAUGGACAUUAAGGGCUCACUUGCUCAAGCAGAAGCACAUUAGAAGAAAUAUAAACGAGGAAGACAUUGGGUCAGUAACAUUUGUUCUAAUGAGAAUAACCAUCUCUAGAGCAUCUUGUUCAAAAAGGAUUGAGUGCCCAGGAAACAACAGAUACAUGAGGCCUUCCACCCCCACCCCACCCCCAAUACUCAGAAGUGUCACACAUACUUGCAGAGACUUUUCAAUCAUCCUUGCUUCAAUCAUGAUUCCCCAGGUGCAUUUCUGUGGGUGUCACCCAGCACAUUCCCCCUCGUGUUCUUCAUCUGUUUCUCCAAAUCUACUUCUCCAUAUUAUUUUAAGAGUUUGUGACCAGAUGUUGGUAACAUGUGGUCCCAGAUGUUCUUAUUUGCUAUACCUCAGGAAUUCUUGACUAAGUGACCCAAGAGCUUCUCAACUUUGGAUCCAAUAAGGGGAACCUAAGGCUAAAAGAAUCCCAUCUGGAGUAGAGAGGAAGAUACCCAAUUACCCAAUUUUUUUGUUUGUUUUUGUUUGUUUUCUGAGACAGAGUCUCUCUCUGUCACCCAAGCUGGAGUGCUGUGGUGCGGUCAUAGCUCACUGCAGCAUUGAACUCCUGAGCUAAGCAGUCCUUCUGCCUCAGCCUUCCGAGUGGCUGGGACUAUAGGCAUGUACCACCAUGCCCAGCUAAUUUUUAAAAAAAGUUUUUGUAAAGACAGGGUCUCCUUAUGUUGCAAAGGCUGGUCUUGAACUCCUGGGCUCAAGAGGUCUUCCCACCUCAGCCUCCCAAAGUGCUGGGAUUACAGGCAUGAGCCACCACAUCUAGCCCAAGUUUCUGCAUAAAGAACAUGAAGGUUUUCCUUAGAUCAUGCUUUACAUGGCACAUCAUGUCUUUAUGGUUAUUAGUGGGCAGUUGCAAGGUAUAGAUACCAUUUUUGUCUAUGCUGUAUCAUCUCCCAAUAUUCUUAACAGCAUCUGACUUAAAAAAAUUUUUUUUUUGAGACAAGGUCUUCCUCUGUCACCCAGUAUGGAGUGCAGUGCUGCAAUCAUGGCUCACUGCAGCCUCAACUUCCCAGGCUCAGGUGAUCCUCCCACCUCAGCCUCCAGAGUAGCUGGGACCACAGGUCGUGCCACCAUGCCCAGCUAAUUUUUGUAUUUUUUUGUAGAGACAGGGUUUUGCCAUGUUCCUCAGGCUGGUCCCUAACUCCUAAGCUCGAGCAAUCUGCCCGUCCCAGACUCCCUGUAAGUGCUUGGAUUACAGGCAUGAGCCAUUGUGCCUGGCCAGCAUCUGAUUUUUCUGUGAGCCUCUACUCCUAUUCUUGGUCCAGGCCAUAAAGAGUAUGGAAACUAAAGUCUGACUGCCUAGGUUUGAAUAUUGGCUCUGCCAUUGACCAGCUAUGUGAACCUGGAAAAAUUCCUAACCUCUCUGUGCCUCAUAUAAGAAAUGUGGAGAAUAGUAUCUACCUCAUGGAGUUUUUGGGUUAUAUGAGUUAAUUCAGAUAAAAUGUUUAAAAGAGUGACUGGCACAUAGUAAACACCCCCCAAAUGUCAUCUAGUAUUAAUAUUAUUACUAUUAGUUCAGAAGGGGCUGACUUCAUUCCCCCUGGCCCUGGUGAUGGCACCUGACCCAGGCCUGGCCAAUCAGGACAUUCUGUCCCCCUGUCCACCAUGGAGUCCUUCUCCAUGGUCAGUCAUACCAGUCAUUUGGAUUGGCACUGUGGGCUGUGAUCUAAUGUGAACUCUGAAAGCCUGGUCAUGCUGGGCCAAAGCUGCAAAGUAAAGGUAAACAUCAAAUCUGGGCUGGUUCAUCAGGAGAGAACAUUCUGAGUAGGGAGACCUGGGGACUAUCCAGUUUCACCUUGCAGGUGAAGGCCCACUCUCCCUACUCUAGCCGUUAGUUAGACCCCAUGAAAAUAAUUGCAGUAGACUGUUAAUUUGAUGGCUUCCAGUGAACCAUGCUUCUGGCAUUCAUACUCUUAUGUAGUCCCCUCCCACAUUGAUUCUGGACUUUGCCAUAUUGAUGCAGGGCAGGUAAGCCCCAGAAUUGGGGCUUAGCCCGAGAAGGUUCUUCACUUCAUCCAGGAAAGAAUUCAAGGGCAAACAGGUGGUGGUAGAUGCCAACAUUUUUUUUUUUUUUUUGAGACGGAGUCUUACUCUGUCAUCAGGCUGGAGUGCAGUGGCACGAUCUCUGCUCACUGCAACCUCCGACUCCCUGGUUCAAAUGAUUCUGCCUCAGCCUCCCGAGUAGCUGGGAUUACAGGCAGACACCACCAUGCCCAGCUAAUUUUUGAAUUUUAGUAGAGAUGGGGUUUCCCCACGUUGGUCAGGAUGGUCUCGAUCUCCUGACUUCAUGAUUCACCCACCUCAGACUCCCAAAGUGCUGGGAUUACAGGUGUGAGCCACUGUGCCCAGCCUAGAUGGCAACUUUUAUUGGAGCAGCAGUGUCCAACAGCAGCAGAGGUACUGCUCCUUGUGGAACAGGACUACCCCCUAGGCAGCAUGCCCAGAGUAGCAGCUCAGGGGUAAUUCUGUCGUCAUAUUUAUACCCACUUUUAAUUACAUGCAAAUUAAGGGGCAGGUUAUUCAGAAUUUUCUGGACAAAGGAUGAUACUUCCAGGCCAUUGCCAUGGAAAGGGGUGGUAACUUUUAGGUGUUGCCAUCACUGUGGUAAACUGACGUGGUGUUGCUGGGUAUGUCUCAUGGAGAGGUGCUUUCACUGCUUCCCUGUUCACCUAGUCUUCAAUCUGGUCCAGAGUUUCAGCCCCAUCUCUGGAGUUGAGUCCUGCCUUCUCCCUCAAUGUGACAAAUGUUGGCCAAUGGUAUAUCGCAGUUGUGAUGCAAGCAGAGGCUUGGUAAAUGCCUGCAUACUGGGGUUUGUCCUCUUGGAAUGCUCAUUUGUGGGAGCCCUGAACAACUAUGUAAGAAGUCUGGCUACCCUGCUGGAGAGAACACAUGGUGGGAAGAGACUAAAAUUAUGUGAAGAGAGUCAGGCCAGCCAUCCCAGCUUCUCUGCUGAGCCCCGCCAUCAGCCAACCUGCCAGCUGAAUGCAACCGUAAGAGUGAUCACCAGCAAGAUCACUAGAAAAACCACCUAACUGAGCCCACCCUGGAUUGAACAAUCAUAAACAAAUAAAAUGGUUAUUGUUUUAAAUCACAAAGUUUUGGGGUUACAUAGCAAUCGAAACAACAAUCAUGUUCAAUAACAUUUCCUAGCUCCACAGAGUUCUGAGAGCUCUCCCACAUCUAAGAGAUUAGGAUUGUUAUUAGCCCCAUUUUACAGAUGGGGAAGCUGAGGCCCAAAGAUGGGAAGCAACAGCCCAGUCAAGCAGAGACAGAGCUGUCACAUUCAUACACUUCUGAGUGAGCUCCUUUCACCGCACCUCCCACUGCAGUAGCUCCUGUCUAGUUGAAGAAACUUAUAAAGAGCAGCAGAGAGUGGUGAGGUAUAGGAGCACUGGACUGGGAUUGACAAUAGCCUGGCUUUAAGUUGGCCAUUAUUUGUCUGUAUGUGCUUAGACAACUCAAACCACUUCCCUCCCUGAGCCCAUCUUUCCAGCUGUUCAGUGAGGGGGGAAGCAAACUGAAAUGCUCGCAGAGGCCAGGUAGAUAACACAGACAAGGGAAGCAGGUCAGGUGAGGACUACGGUGGCUGAGCCCAUGCCCUUCUAAGCGGGGGCGGUCACUACCCAGCUUCAACCAACUGUUACCAUAUGGAAUCGGGGCCCAUUGUAGCUAGAUCACCUGAUUUGUUUCUUUUCCUUGGAGAGACAGGAAAUGUAGGUUAUGAUGUUAAAUUUCCCAACAUUAAAAUGUUAUAUACAGCUCAGGAAAAGCAGGGAAAAGAAAAAGAAAUGUUAUGAAUUUAUUUGAAUUUUUAAAAAAUAAACAGCCAUUCAAACCUACAGGCUGCUGGUUUGAAACCCUGGAUCAGAUUAUUUCAAAAUUUCCUGCUAGAGUUUAUGCCGACAUCAAAGAAGGAUGCCUACCGGUCCCAGCCCUGCCCUACGCACACAGAGCGGUUCCAUCUAUCUCCCCAUCCCAACUCACAGAGCCUGAACACCAGAGAGGCCUUGGGUGUGGCUACCAUCUUUCUCUCUGAGGACUCUCAUCUCCAGCCCUACCACCCCUCUGGCUACAAGGAAUGGGGUGCAGAGGCCCAGUUUCGAAUGCCUAAAGUUGCUGGGGCUUCAAAGGAGGGCCAAAAGUGGAAAAGAAGUAACACCCAUUAAGCAACUACUGUGGGCCAGGUGUGAUGGUGGAUUGCAACAUUAUGUAAUAGCAAAGGGUCUCAUGACUAUGAGGACAUAAGGGAUUGGAGGAGUGCUGUUCAUCCCUGGUCAUAAUGAGCCUUGGAGACAGACAUGCAGUGCAGCGAGGGACGGCCCAGCUAUUAUUGAUACUAAUUAAAAGGCCAUUAAAUUGAAGGGGCACAUACAGCCCUUCCGUCACCAGCCAGUGCUCUGACAGUCUCACCAUUUUCUGUGAGGCCAGCGCAGCUCGUGU
rnacentral:lncRNA from 1 species